rnacentral:rRNA from 1 species
GACGAACGCUGGCGGCGUGCUUAACACAUGCAAGUCGAACGGAAAGGCCCUGCUUUUGUGGGGUGCUCGAGUGGCGAACGGGUGAGUAACACGUGAGUAACCUGCCCUUGACUUUGGGAUAACUUCAGGAAACUGGGGCUAAUACCUGAUAGGAGCUCCUGCUGCAGGGUGGGGGUUGGAAAGUUUCGGCGGGUGGGGUUGGACUCGCGGCUUAUCAGCUUGUUGGGGGGGUAGUGGCUUACCAAGGCUUUGACGGGUAGCCGGCCUGCGAGGGUGACCGGCCACCUGAGGACUGAGAUACGGCCCAGACUCCAACGGGGGGCAGCAGUGGGGAAUAUUGCACAAUGGGCGGAAGCCUGAUGCAGCAACGCCGCGUGCGGGAUGACGGCCUUCGGGUUGUAAACCGCUUUCGCCUGUGACGAAGCGUGAGUGACGGUAAUGGGUAAAGAAGCACCGGCUAACUACGUG